ACAUUUACACAGGGCAUUACGCAUAUCAGUGAGGAUUCGUCCGAGAUUGCGUUUUUGCUAGUUGAAAACUAUCAACUGACCGCUCUCGUUGGUCUUCGGAUCGGCGAGGAAUUUUUGACAACCUUCGUGAUCUUUCACCACCUUUUUUCAUCACGUUGCUUGCCAUUCGCAAGAGCUUGGAGAAGAAGAGG
rnacentral:snRNA from 14 species